CAGGGGUCUGCCGACACCCACUGGAGCACAGAUUUAAUCCAACUCAGUCAUGGCAGGCAGCCCAUCCUAGGGACUGGUCCCACCCAACAGCAAGCCCUCAGGCUACUUGUUGGCCUGCAUAGACUGGGUGCCUCAAUCCUCUGCAAGCAGACGUGGCAAUAAUCACAGAAGCGAGGUGCAGAGGCCUUCAGAGGCACACGUGAUCCAGGGGGCCAUGGACCCUGCCCGGCCCACUUCCUCAUUUUGUUUCCUGCUAGACCCUGGAAGGUUUGAGGAAUAGCUGGCCAAAUUACUCCACCAAAGUAGCAAUAAUUCUAUCCAGAUAUUCUUGUCUGCAAAGGAGCCAAUAAGACUCAAGGGAGACGGAAGGAAGAUGAGCGGAAGGACUAGAAGUGGAAAAGUACUGAGUACUGAGUCAGAGUGGAGAAAAAAUGUUUUCAAAGGACCUUCCCCCAAGUGAGGAGGCCUUGACAGAUGUGCCAGUG
rnacentral:lncRNA from 1 species